rnacentral:rRNA from 1 species
UACGGAGGGGGCUAGCGUUGUUCGGAAUUAUUGGGCGUAAAGGGCGCGUAGGCGGCUUGAUAAGUCAAAGGUGAAAUCCCUCGGCUCAACUGAGGAACUGCCUUUGAAACUGUCAGACUUGAGGCCGGGAGGGGGUAGCGGAAUUCCCAGUGUAGCGGUGAAAUGCGUAGAUACUGGGAGGAACACCGGUGGCGAAGGCGGCUACCUGGACCGGUUCUGACGCUGAUGCGCGAAAGCGUGGGUAGCAAACAGG